CCAGACUCCUACGGGAGGCAGCAGUGGGGAAUAUUGCACAAUGGGGGAAACCCUGAUGCAGCGACGCCGCGUGAGUGAAGAGGUAUUUCGGUAUGUAAAGCUCUAUCAGCAGGGAAGAAAAUGACGGUACCUGACUAAGAAGCCCCGGCUAACUACGUGCCAGCAGCCGCGGUAAUACGUAGGGGGCAAGCGUUAUCCGGAUUUACUGGGUGUAAAGGGAGCGUAGGUGGCAUGGUAAGCCAGAAGUGAAAACCCGGGGCUCAACCCCGCGGAUUGCUUUUGGAACUAUCAGGCUGGAGUGCUGGAGGGGUAAGCGGAAUUCCUAGUGUAGCGGUGAAAUGCGUAGAUAUUAGGAGGAACACCGGUGGCGAAGGCGGCCUGCUGGACUGCAACUGACGUUGAGGCCCGAAAGCGUGGGGAGCAAACAGGAUUAGAUACCCCAGUA
rnacentral:rRNA from 1 species